UCUCUAAGCGGGACGCCGCUUUCGUCGUACGUUGCCCUGGUGCGAUUUUUCGUCCGCCAGCUUCGUCCUGCCUCAAGCGGUCGCAGAUCACCCGUUGAACCAGCGUUCCCGUCCGAUCCUCGCCGCUGUGCACCCUUCCCCCGGGCGGCCGCCCCCAUCUCGCCGCUGUCCCCGUAUCUCCUCCCAACUCUCUCAAAUCUCCCCCAGACCCUCACCGGCCUGUGUGCGCCGCCGCCGCCGCCUCCUCGAUGACUCCCGCGCCCGUCCGAUUGGCGUCCCCCCUCCCCCCCUGGUUCCCGAGAUUCGGCGGCGCCGCUGGGCUAGGGGAGGCGUCUAGCGCGGGGCUGCAGAGGAAGGCGCCGACGAUCGAGCGGCAGCUGGCUUGUAGUCUGGAGAAGCCCGGGGACGAUGACGCGGGGGAGGAACCGCCGCCACAGAUAGGGCGCUUGCGGGUGCGCUUGCGGGUGUGUGACGCGGGCGCCGGCGACGCGAGCGGGGAGAGGAAGGAAGGGUCCUACUUCGUCCUGGAGGUGGCGGCGGGGGUCGCUCGUGGCCUCCCCAUACUAAGAAGGUGAAGAUCUCCAGGGAUCUUCUUGACGCCACCGGGGGAGACCGCUGAUUCCUUGUCCAAUUUGUUUGUUGUGUACUACAUACUUACGCCAGGUUUUAGCAUUUUGUUCUUCUGAAUGCAAAUGGGGGUAUACUCUAAGAUUGGUGCACUUCUGCACCAACACUCUUUUAUUGAGGAGCAUUAAUCAAAACUUAGUUGUUUCAAUCCAUGUCAUUUCUGUUACUGUUGCCCCCUCGUACGGUGGUCCAUGGCACUUCUGCACCAACACUCUUUGUGGUUGUUGUGGUCUGAUUUUUUAGAUGGGAUGUGGAUUGCAUGGUGUUUGUUUUGCUUACUAGAAUAACAUUAUUUAACAACUAAUUGUGGAUGAAGGUUAUUGGUAAGUGGCACAGGUGCAAUGGCUAAAAAGAUGCUCUGUUUCUUCUUGUGAGCAUGGAUUAUGAAAUUAUUAACACACAGAUACUGCCCAACAUAAAUUGGCAUGCUUUCAGGACUCGUGCCUUUCGUCUGCCACUAUUUCUGUGGAUCAUUGUCUGUGAUUAGUGCCAUGCCAUUCUUGCUUUAUCUCAAACUGAUUGCCGAUGAGAUUAUUGGUUUUGUCAUUAAAGGUGGGACAUAUUAAAGCCUGUGACGCCUGUGUUUUCUCGUGCGAAAUCAGAACCCUAUCCUCCCUGAAGUUGAAGAGGGGGCUCUGCCAGAACUUGUCUCACUCCAGCGGCUAUGUAAACACCUAACUGGUUUUUCAGGCAUCAAAAUUAAACGCCUCAGAAAGCUCCAGGAAAUCGAGGAUCCAUUUACUGAGGAGAAUUAUCAAUUAUGGUACUAAGUGAACUGAACACACUAUCCGAUGGUGGACAGGACAGUUAUGUGACUUAUUUCUCUUCUUGCCUAAUAUUUUCUUUGUGCAAGUUGUAAAUUGUUUAACACUUACCAGUGGGCCUGUACAUUGAUGCAAUUGGCUAAGAACUACUUGUGUCCCUUGAGUUAUGCUCAGAUUGCCUAUUAAUUUGAGGACAAAAAUGCAUUCUAUACUCGGUUGCUUCAGAGGCCUUUGCUAAGUAUAGGUAUACUCAAGGGACUAAUUCUUGGGUUUUAUCGUGUGCCUAAUUAUCAUUGUCUUAGUUCAGUCAUAAUAUUCUGCAGUGUGCACCAGUGCUGAGUAGUGUGAAAUUUGGUUUGGCCAAAAACUGGCUUGGUUUGCUAAUGUAGGAUUCCUUCCUUUUGUUUGAUAGUUGGGCUUAUAAGCUCUUCAGUUUCUUUUUCAAUGUACAGAAAAAGGGAUGAAAAAUAUACGUGUAUUCUCAUUGAUGUUAAAUGGGUGGCUGGUGAUAAUAUUGCUCGAUUGGAUGGUUGCGGGAAAGUGUUUCUUUGCAGAAUAUGGAUUGUGAUUUAUUCGUCGCCCACCUAAUUCAAAUUCUGGUAAAAGUUAAUAGACCUCUUUUGACUUGCAACAUUUUUUUUUUUGCAUUUUGCGUGCAGAGCACUGUCAUUUUGACGAUUGGAGGCGGAUUAUGCUAUAUGCAGUAGCUUCGAGGUUGGUUUGUGUUCUAAUUGACUGAACUGAUGGAUGGCAUAUCCAUAUUUUCAUUUUUCAAAUUUCAGCCGAUGAUUUCAGGAUGAGAGUACGAAACAAGGACUCACAUCUUUGAAGAAGUAAACCAUGAUAUGGCUGAAUAAAUUGCAAUGGUAUAUCCUGUCCUUUUAUUUCCUAAUUAUAGUUCGAUGGUGCCCAGCUAUAGUAAAAGACAUGAGUCUAGGCUUCUUGGUUCUGGCUCACCAAUGCAGAUCACUUUAUCAUAGGGAAGGAGCCAAGACCCUCAAUUCUUUUUCAUAUUACCGCUAAGUCCAUUUAUUCUGUUAUAUAUUGACAUUGUGCACUUAUUACUCGCUUACUCAGAGUCCUGGCAUGAUCAUGGUUCACCUGCUUUCUUAAGAAGUCUUGAAAAAAAAUUCUCCAAUCUCACUUUGCAUACUCUAAACUUUGAUUAACUUAUUGUGUCUGUACUGACAACUAACUCUGCAAGAGUUUUGCCGUACCUCUGAAUAUACUGAUAUUUGAAAUGGGUUUCCACCCUAGCAAGAAAAAUGUUUAAGCUGCAAAUCUCCAUAUAUUUUCAUGCAAUGUAUCUGACUGUGGCAUCAUUGUGUCGUUUUCAAGUUGAGCUUAUCAUCGAAUACAAUGUUUGGCAUAUUUUCCAUACAUGCUUUUUCCUGUUGUUUACGAAGCUGGAACUAAGCAUUUUCUUCUUUGGCUGAAUGCACAUAUGCCCAAUAGCAUGUGGUUCAUGCCGUUUUUUCAUGUGUUUUACUAAAAAAAAAGACUAGAAAGAGUGUAUGUUUUCUCUUCUUUCGGGUUAUCUCUUGUGCCAUCUAAAUCAUUGCAAGCCAAUAGAUUUUCUCUUGUGUCAUCUAAAUCAUUGCAAGCCAAUAUAUUUUCUAGGGGUCAUUCAGCUGAUGGAGGUGACGCCAAUUCAUCAAGAUGUAUCGAGUUGCAAUGACAAAAUUCCACAAUUUGAGAUACUAUAUUUGAGGAAAAUAGAUUAUUCAUCCACCAAGAGUUAACAAUUGUAUACUGAUGGUGCUCUAACUAAUGAUGUAAUAAACAAUAUAUUAUGAGUCAGUUCCAUGGAAGUUAGGAAGGCCUGAUGGAGCAAUCUUUUAUUUGAUGAAAAAUUAAAUGUAUAUGGAGUUUGCUAUAUUCUUAACUGAGCUAUACAUAUUCCUGCAUAGAGUGUAAGUGUUUGGCUC